rnacentral:tRNA from 1 species
UCUAAUAUGGCAGAUUAGUGCAAUGAAUUUAAGAUUCAUAUAUAAAUUAUAUUUUAUUGGAA